CCCCCCCCCAUAAAAUCUGUCGAUAAAAACGUUUAUGUUUUAUAAGGUCAACAAAAUGUAAGGCCGCGUUCGAAUAUCGGUUAUCGCGUCUAAAAAUAUAGACAUUCGAAUAUCUAGAACCGAUAAAUACUUUCGAAAAAGACGAAAUGCGAUCCGCUAUAACGUGAUCUAUUAUUUGUUAUCGAUCAAAAAUAAUAUUUCCGAUCAUACGGGUGUAUGGGUGUGUACCAUAUUGUUAUGUAAUAAAUGAUUGUCGUUACUAUCGUAACUGCAUUCGGUAAUUCGCCAAUAAUCGU